AACGAACGCUGGCGGCAGGCUUAACACAUGCAAGUCGAACGAGAUCUUCGGAUCUAGUGGCAGACGGGUGAGGAACACGUGGGAACAUCCCUUUCAGUUCGGAAUAACGUUGGGAAACUAACGCUAAUACCGGAUACGUCCUUCGGGAGAAAGAUUUAUCGCUGAAAGAUUGGCCCGCGUCUGAUUAGCUAGUUGGUGAGGUAACGGCUCACCAAGGCUACGAUCAGUAGCUGAUCUGAGAGGAUCAUCAGCCACAUUGGGACUGCAGACGCGGCCCAAACUCCUACGGGAGGCAGCAGUGGGGAAUAUUGGACAACGGGCGCAAGCCUGAUCCAGCCAUGCCGCGUGAGUGAUGACGGCCUUCGGGUUGUAAAGCUCUUUUGUCCGGGAAGAUAAUGACUGUACCGGAAGAAUAAGCCCCGGCAAACUUCGUGCCAGCAGCCGCCGUAACAC
rnacentral:rRNA from 1 species